GAUGAAGAACGUAGCGAAAUGCGAUAAGUAAUGUGAAUUGCAGAAUUCAGUGAACCAUCGAAUCUUUGAACGCACAUUGCGCCCGGCAGUAAUCUGCCGGGCAUGCCUGUCCGAGCGUCAUUUCUGCCCUCGAGCGAGUCCAGCAUCUAGGUGCUGGGCCCGCCCGGCGUUGGGGCACUACGGGAAGCCCUGUGCUGUCCCCCGUAGGCCCCGAAAUGAAGUGGCGGUCCUGUCGCGGCGCCCCCUGCGUAGUAUAACAGCUCGCUUCGGGACCCGGUGGAGGCCUGCCGUCAAACCUUACUCUCUAAGUUUGACCUCGGAUCAGGUAGGGUUACCCGCUGAACUUAAGCAUAUCAAUAAGCGGAGGA
rnacentral:misc_RNA from 1 species